rnacentral:rRNA from 1 species
UACGGAGGGUGCAAGCGUUAUCCGGCUUCACUGGGUUUAAAGGGUGCGUAGGUGGGCAGGUAAGUCAGUGGUGAAAUCUCUGGGCUUAACCCGGAAACUGCCGUUGAUACUAUCUGACUUGAAUAUAGUGGAGGUGAGCGGAAUAUGUCAUGUAGCGGUGAAAUGCUUAGAUAUGACAUAGAACAUCGAUUGCGAAGGCAGCUCGCUACACUAUGAUUGACACUGAGGCACGAAAGCGUGGGGAUCAAACAGG